UUCUCUCCGAAAACUAUUUAGGUAGUGCCUCGUGUCUCACCUUCGGGGGUAGAGCACUGUCAUGGUUGGGGGGUCUAUUGCAGAUUACCCCGCCAUAGCAAACUCCGAAUACCGAAGAGUGCAAUCACGGGAGACAGACAUCGGGUGCUAACGUCCGGUGUCAAGAGGGAAACAACCCAGACCGCCAGCUAAGGUCCCCAAAUAUGGCUAAGUGGGAAACGAAGUGGGAAGGCUAAAACAGUCAGGAGGUUGGCUUAGAAGCAGCCACCCUUUAAAGAAAGCGUAAUAGCUCACUGAUCGAGUCGUCCUGCGCGGAAGAUGUAACGGGGCUAAGCCAUAUACCGAAGCUGCGGAUGCGAGCUAGUCUCGCAUGGUAGGAGAGCGUUCCGUAAGCCUGCGAAGGUGCAUUGUAAAGUGUGCUGGAGGUAUCGGAAGUGCGAAUGCUGACAUGAGUAGCGAUAAAGGGGGUGAAAGGCCCCCUCGCCGUAAGCCCAAGGUUUCCUACGCAACGUUCAUCGGCGUAGGGUGAGUCGGCCCCUAAGGCGAGGCAGAAAUGCGUAGCUGAUGGGAAGCAGGUCAAUAUUCCUGCACCAUUGUUAAAUGCGAUGGGGGGACGGAUCGCGGAAGGUUGUCCGGGUGUUGGAAGUCCCGGUCGCUGCAUUGGAGAAGGCGCUUAGGCAAAUCCGGGCGCGGAAUUCAAGGGUGUGGCGCGAGCUUCUUCGGAAGCGAAGCAAUCGGAAGUGGUUCCAAGAAAAGCCUCUAAGCUUCAGUUUAACAGUGACCGUACCGCAAACCGACACAGGUGGGCGAGAUGAGUAUUCUAAGGCGCUUGAGAGAACUCGGGAGAAGGAACUCGGCAAAUUGGUACCGUAACUUCGGGAUAAGGUACGCCCCUGUAGCUUGACUGGCCUGCGCCAGAAGGGUGAAGGGGUUGCAAUAAACUGGUGGCUGCGACUGUUUAAUAAAAACACAGCACUCUGCAAACACGAAAGUGGACGUAUAGGGUGUGACGCCUGCCCGGUGCCGGAAGAUUAAAUGAUGGGGUGCAAGCUCUUGAUUGAAGUCCCGGUAAACGGCGGCCGUAACUAUAACGGUCCUAAGGUAGCGAAAUUCCUUGUCGGGUAAGUUCCGACCUGCACGAAUGGCGUAACGAUGGCCACACUGUCUCCUCCCGAGACUCAGCGAAGUUGAAGUGUUUGUGAUGAUGCAAUCUCCCCGCGGCUAGACGGAAAGACCCCAUGAACCUUUACUGUAGCUUUGCAUUGGACUUUGAACCGAUCUGUGUAGGAUAGGUGGGAGGCUAUGAAACCGGAACGCUAGUUUCGGUGGAGCCGUCCUUGAAAUACCACCCUGGUUUGUUUGAGGUUCUAACCUUGGCCCGUGAUCCGGGUCGGGGACAGUGCAUGGUAGGCAGUUUGACUGGGGCGGUCUCCUCCCAAAGUGUAACGGAGGAGUACGAAGGUACGCUAGGUACGGUCGGAAAUCGUGCUGAUAGUGCAAUGGCAUAAGCGUGCUUAACUGCGAGACCGACAAGUCGAGCAGGUGCGAAAGCAGGUCAUAGUGAUCCGGUGGUUCUGUAUGGAAGGGCCAUCGCUCAACGGAUAAAAGGUACUCUGGGGAUAACAGGCUGAUACCGCCCAAGAGUUCAUAUCGACGGCGGUGUUUGGCACCUCGAUGUCGGCUCAUCUCAUCCUGGGGCUGUAGCCGGUCCCAAGGGUAUGGCUGUUCGCCAUUUAAAGAGGUACGUGAGCUGGGUUUAAAACGUCGUGAGACAGUUUGGUCCCUAUCUGCCGUGGGCGUUGGAUAUUUGAAGGGGGCUGCUCCUAGUACGAGAGGACCGGAGUGGACGAACCUCUGGUGUACCGGUUGUCACGCCAGUGGCAUCGCCGGGUAGCUAUGUUCGGAAGAGAUAACCGCUGAAAGCAUCUAAGCGGGAAACUCGCCUUAAGAUGAGAUAUCCCCGGGGACUUGAUCCCCUUGAAGGGUCGUUCGAGACCAGGACGUUGAUAGGUCAGGUGUGUAAGCGCAGUAAUGCGUUCAGCUAACUGAUACUAAUUGCCCGUAAGGCUUGAUCC
rnacentral:rRNA from 1 species